GACAGGGGCAGCCAUUUUGGCAGUCAUCGCGGCAGUAAAUUGACAGGCACUGGCAGACUGUCAAGGAUGGUGGAUAACUGCUGUGCACCAGGUUGCACAAAUAGGCGUGGGAAAAAGAAAGGUGUAUCGUAUUAUCGCAUUCCUAAAGACGCGGAGAGGAGGGAGAAGUGGAUUGGAGCGAUUAAAAGAGCCAGGAGCCUUCAGAAAAAGACUGAAAGAUGGGACCCCCCGGCCGUUGGCUUUCGCUUAUGCAGUGAUCACUUCAUAUCAGGGAGAAAGAGUGAUAAUCCGUUGAGUCCGGAUUUUAUCCCCUCAAUUUUCGAUUACCUUCCAUCUCCAGAGAAGAGGAGACAUAAAACGAGACUGGAGGUUUUUAACAGAAGGCAGAAGGCUAAACUGCACAAAGUAGAGCAGGCAAAGAUAUCUGCAGAAGCCAUCCGUCAAAGGACAUCAACUGAUGCAGCCCCAGAAGACCAUAUCACAGAGCCUUUGAAGGAGCCCCCCAUCACAGAUCCGUUGGAAGACUCAGCCGAUGAUCCUGUCCAGCCUGAACCAGUAACACCACCAUGCACCUCUGAAACCUGCUGUACCCGCAUCCAGAGUCUUGAGCAAGAAUGCCAAGCUCUAAGGGCUGAAAAUGUGUUGUUAAGGGAAAAGAUUAAUAGGAAGACCCUGACAGAGAUUAGUUUAAAUAACAAUGAUAAAAAGGUGAAUGUCCUCACUGGGCUGGCAACCUAUGCAUGUCUCAUGACCAUUUUUCAAUAUCUGGCUCCAUUUCUCAAAGUUAAAUCAUCAAUAACAUGUUUUCAACAAUACAUGUUGACUUUGAUGAAGCUUCGAAUGAACUUAACAUUUGACUU